CUUAUGUUCUAAUGGAGAAGACAACAUGUACAAACAUAAAAAAGUCAGAAGAGCUGUCAGAGGCCAUUGCUAAUCUCCUGAUGAGUACUACCAGUUUCACAUUUCCAGAAAACAUAGACCCCUGAACUUGAUGUCCAUCCCUAAUAGAAUUCUGGAAAGGAUUACUUAGUGGAUGGCAUAUGAGCAUUUAUAAAGGAAAGUGGUAAUUAGUAGGAAUCAGAUUAAGUUUAUUAAAAGCAAACCAUGAUAGCCUAACAUUAUUUUCUUUUCCUAUAGUGUUACUGGAUUGGUAAAUCAGAGGAAUGCCAUAGACAUAGUAGUCUGGAUUUAGAUGCUCCUGAUUUCAUUGAAUUCCUUGGAAAAAGUGAUAAAGAAGCUUCAAUCCUUGGCAUGCCCUGCUUCCUGCCACAGAACCUCUCAGUUCUCAAGGUGCUUAAGGACAAUACUUGCCAUCAUGUCACUUGCUGAAGGCAAUUUGUUCAGCCCUAGGAAAGAAAAUCCAGAAUUUGAGCAGGACUGCCUGAAGAAAAAACUGAAUGGAAAGAAUGGUUUUUAGGAAGAAAUUGUUGGGUCUACAGGUGGACUCCCUAAAAUUCAAAGCCAAAGCCCUAACAUGGGAAAUCUUGAUGAAGGCCUUCCAGUAAUGAUGUGAUUGGGCAACUCAUCACUCAGGGUAGCUUGAUGGCUCAGAAACCUUUGGGAUAAAGAAGGAAAUCCAAGCAAGAAAUUGUGAAACUGAGAAGAUAUGAUCUACAAUGGAAAAUUGGGAAAGCUGUCUGAAUCCAAAUGCAUUGGUUCUACUGUGACUGAUGAUCAAAGAUGAUCAGAUUAUAGAAACGCCAUUGAAUUGGUUCCAUUUUGCCAAUUUGUUUUCCUCCUUCUAGUUUCAUCUACACAUUUUCUUGAGAUGAUCUGGCUCAAUUGUAUGUUAUGACUAGCUUUCUUCAAACUCCUUUUCCUCUAUCCCAUUCUUGCAUUAUUUUGUAACACAAUGUGACUCAAUUAUCUUCCACCAUACU